CCUACGUGAGGCAGCAGUGAGGAAUAUUGGUCAAUGGGCGCGAGCCUGAACCAGCCAAGUAGCGUGAAGGAUGACUGCCCUACGGGUUGUAAACUUCUUUUAUAAAGGAAUAAAGUGAGGCACGUGUGCCUUUUUGUAUGUACUUUAUGAAUAAGGAUCGGCUAACUCCGUGCCAGCAGCCGCGGUAAUACGGAGGAUCCGAGCGUUAUCCGGAUUUAUUGGGUUUAAAGGGAGCGUAGAUGGGUUGUUAAGUCAGUUGUGAAAGUUUGCGGCUCAACCGUAAAAUUGCAAUUGAUACUGGCAGUCUUGGGUACAGUUGAGGUAGGCGGAAUUCGUGGUGUAGCGGUGAAAUGCUUAGAUAUCACGAAGAACUCCGAUUGCGAAGGCAGCUUACUAAACUGCCACUGACAUUGAUGCUCGAAAGUGUGGGUAUCAAACAGGAUUAGAUACCCUUGUAGUC
rnacentral:rRNA from 1 species